GAGUCCCGCAAGCUGGCUGCCCAAAGAGGCUUGCUGGCGCCCUACGCCGGGUGCGAGGUGGAUCGUAGAGCGGGCAGCGGGUUGAUGGUUCCCCGGGGUUUGCCCUCCAAGCCCCAAAUCCUUGUCAGUCCACGGCUUUGACGGAGUUGCCCUUUGCGCACGACCCUCUUGGUUGUGCUAGCGGAUUUUGCCUCCAUUCUGGAUCUGGGAAAAUGUGUAAAGAGUGAAAGCUGAGCUGCCCGGAUCUGGACUUUUUCGCUCUCAAACGAGCCCCAGAAUAGAGUGAGAGGAAAGAAUAUGCAAUGGCUGUUUGCUUAGGAUCCAGAAUUUAUCAGCUCUCUGACCCUGGGCGGGUAACCUCUCCGAGCCUCAGUUUCUUCAUGAUGAAGUCAAGGUCCUUAAAGUCCCGAUCUGGGGAUUGUGGCGAGGAGUAAAGGCAAUGGAAAAAAUCCCUAUGCACUGUGCCUGCGCUGCACUAGUGGAAGACUACCUACUGUGGGCGCUGGCUAGGAUCUGUCAGAUGGUGCCUUCCCGUCCUCAGAAGAGAGCACUUUCAAGGCAGUCGCUGAUUAGUCAUCGUGAUAUCCAGGUACUAUACCAACAUUCCUGGCAUAUGACAGAAAAGAAAAAUGGUAGCAUUCAGGGGCGACCUGAGCGGGCUUCGAUGCAUCCAUCAUCUCCAUUGGCAAUGACACCUUCCGUUCUUUGAAG
ensembl:lncRNA